rnacentral:snoRNA from 1 species
AUAUUAUGAUGGUUGCAUAGAUCUGCACAUAGAGAAUAAAGAAGAAUACUCAACAUUAUUAUAUGAUGUGUGU